GAUGAACGCUGGCGGCGUGCUUAACACAUGCAAGUCGAGCGAGAGAGUUCUUCGGAACAAUCUAGCGGCGGACGGGUGAGUAACACGUGGGCAACCGGCCCCAUAGAGGGGAAUAGCCUUCGGAAGGGAAGAUUAAAACCCCAUAAAAACGUUGAGGGGCAUCGUUCGAAAAUCAACGGAUGAAUCGGCAAUGAGAUGGGCCCGCGGGGCAUUAGCUAGUUGGUGAGGUAACGGCCCACCAAGGCGACGAUGCGUAGCCGACCUGAGAGGGUGAUCGGCCACAUUGGGACUGAGACACGGCCCAGACUCCUACGGGAGGCAGCAGUGGGGAAUAUUGCACAAUGGGGGAAACCCUGAUGCAGCAACGCCGCGUGAGUGAUGACGGCCUUCGGGUUGUAAAGCUCUGUCUUUGGGGACGAUAAUGACGGUACCCAAGGAGGAAGUCACGGCUAACUACGUGCCAGCCGCCGCAGUAA
rnacentral:rRNA from 1 species